rnacentral:lncRNA from 1 species
CAGUUAACAGUACUUGAGCACGUAUCCCUCUCAACCUAAGCUUGCCGUGUACCAUGGCUUCGAGCGUACUUCUCGUCUAAAGCAGUGAUGAGAUAUUCCAUGUUUUGAGCUGUGAAUAUCAAUUGUUUUUGUCCUAAUCACAAGCUAAUUUUUAUUAUUCAAGAAAACUCUCCCUCCAAUUUAAUAUGCUUCUGGGACCGUUGAUGGAGUCCCAACGA